AGCUUACUCUUUUUUCAGGAUUUGUCAGUUAUCAAAUGGUUCGAGAUGCAAAUGAAGUUGGGAAGUCUGGAUUCGGGAGCCCCCUGUCACUUGGACAUUCCCCUGGGAAAACUGACAGGAUUCACAUCAAAGGCCCUAGAGGACGUGGGGAGGUGGAAGUUGUUGUUUCUCGUGUUGUAGAUUACUACCAGAUCCUCCUUUUUGCUGGUGGCUGAUGGCUGUUGCUUGUUGGUCUGUUGCAUCUGCUGCUGCUGGUUUGCUGCUGUUGCCGCCCUCGUGGCUGAUGCUUGCUAGGCUGCUGCUA